rnacentral:lncRNA from 1 species
GCUGCGUGAUCUGGGUUGAGGGAGUUAUGUGUGUGAGUGACUAAAAAGCGAACAUUUGAUUGUUGUGUGCUUUUGCUUCUCUGGGCAGUAGCUAGUUUCGUUUGGGUGUUGGUCUGUGUGACUUAGGGUUGGAGGCAGAGGAUUUUGGAACGUUGGGCUUGAUUCCGGUGAGUGUUUGGAGGCAGCCAGACGAGUCUUAGACGUGCACGAUCGGAAACAGAGGACUGAACCGGUCUACGUCUUCAACACAGUUCUGUUUACGGAUCUGUCGGGUUAGCUAGUUUAUUCUUAUAAUCUGUAAUUUUAUUAUUAUAGAAUAUUUAGAAUUGCUUUGUACUCCCUAAUCCCUUUUCCAAUAGGAUAUAUUAUUAUGUAUUCAUUUGAUUUUAUGAUUUGUAAUCCUAUUGAGUUCAACGGGUACCCAACAAUGUGUGUGUGUGUUAAAGAUCUGUGUGAGUUUGUGUAUAUGUGUGUGUCAAAAGCGUGUGCGAGUUUGUGUUUAUGUGUGUGUCAAAAAAUGUGUGAAUGUGUGAAAAAUGUGAAUGUAUGUGU